GGAAAGUAAAAGUCGUAACAAGGUUUCCGUAGGUGAACCUGCGGAAGGAUCAUUCAUAAUAAGUGUUUUAUGGCACUUUUUUAAAUCCAUAUCCACCUUGUGAGCAAUGUCAAGGUUGAUUUUUCUCUCGAGAGGAUCAACCCCAAACAUCAACUAUAUCUCAACUCUUUGUCUGAAAAAUAUUAUGAAUAAAACAAUUCAAAAUACAACUCUCAACAACGGAUCUCUUGGCUCUC
rnacentral:misc_RNA from 1 species